CCGCGCUCUCCCCCUCUCCCUUCCCGCCGGCCCCCUGGAAGCCUCCGGCUCGGCCGGAGAGGCCGGGCCGGAGUUUUCGGUUUUCGGCGGGGGGAGCCGGAGGACGGCUGGCGGCGAGGGAGGAGGAAGAGGGAGCGGGGAAGGUGAGGAGGCGAGCGGGGCGCGGUGCCAGGGAGCGGCAUCCAGGACCUUAAUUGUGCGACGGGGGGACGCGCCGGGCCGAGUGUGCCCGAGACCAGGCGCGUACACGUGUCCUUGUGUGUGCGUGUGUGUGUGUGUGUGUGUGUGUGUGUGUGUGUGUGCGUAUGUGUGUGUGCGCGCGCGGGUGUGUGUGUGCCAGAGGAGGCGAGCCUACCAUGCGCUUCCCCCGGUGCAGAUCGCGGGAGAGCCCAAUCACGGGGCGAGCUGGACCGGGCUGUGAUCAUUUAUAAUCCUGGACUCCUCCGCUCCGCCACUUGUCAAGAUGACAGGCCGCGUCGGGUACGGGAAAGCUCCGAGGCUCCCAUGCUGUGACCAAUCAGUGCCUCUACUACUCUUGCCGUGAUUUAGGGGUCAUCCAUGAAUAACACUUCACGCUGAUGAAUGGCUCUUGCAGGCUUUCGGCUCUGAUGAGGGGUCUGCCCGCCGCUGAUUGCAAACACUAAUGAACUCCCAGCGCCAUUUGAAAUUCACACGCACCUACAAAGUGCGGGGGGUGGGCAUUUCAGGUCAGCUGAGUCACCCGAGGAGGUAGGAGUGCAAGACACUGCCGGGAAGAUGGAUUCCGAGGCAGAACGAGUGUCCUCUCGUCCCAGACUGAAAAGCGCAAAUGACCUUCGCACGCGGGAAGGGGUUAUACACGAGCCCCAACUCGGCACCGGCGGCGGCGAACAAGUGUCCGCCCUGUGGUUCAAGCACCAAGACCGCCCCAACAAGCGCGCGCUGGCCGGUGGGGACGGAUUCUGGAGUCCUCCCAAGGCUCCACGCCCCGCAUUCUCCGACGCCGCCCCCCUCCCCAGUUCUCCCCUGCUUCCACUCUGUGUGAUGUGGGAGGAAAAUAAAAGUUUACUGCUCUCCAGGAGACACUGUCACUUUGUACUCCCUUAA
rnacentral:lncRNA from 1 species